AGUGAACGCUGGCGGUAGGCCUAACACAUGCAAGUCGAACGGCAGCACAGUAAGAGCUUGCUCUUACGGGUGGCGAGUGGCGGACGGGUGAGGAAUACAUCGGAAUCUACUUUUUCGUGGGGGAUAACGUAGGGAAACUUACGCUAACACCGCAUACGACCUACGGGUGAAAGCAGGGGAUCUUCGGACCUUGCGCGAUUGAAUGAGCCGAUGUCGGAUUAGCUAGUUGGCGGGGUAAAGGCCCACCAAGGCGACGAUCCGUAGCUGGUCUGAGAGGAUGAUCAGCCACACUGGAACUGAGACACGGUCCAGACUCCUACGGGAGGCAGCAGUGGGGAAUAUUGGACAAUGGGCGCAAGCCUGAUCCAGCCAUACCGCGUGGGUGAAGAAGGCCUUCUGGUUGUAAAGCCCUUUUGUUGGGAAAGAAAAGCAGCAGGUUAAUACCCCGCUGUUCUGACGGUACCCAAAGAAUAAGCACCGGCUAACUUCGUG
rnacentral:rRNA from 1 species